CCUGAGCUGCUUGAGUGAGGAGAGCUGAAAGAGCUCUAGCCCAUGGCGUACUUCUGCGUCCACCCCCUUGCCGUGGACUCGUAUCUGAGGCGGUCGGUCUUGCACAUGUGCGCGAUCUCCGGCACCAGCGGGUCGUCCGGGUUUGGGUCCGUCAGCAGCGAGCAAAUGGAGAGCAGGACCUUGGAGAUGGUCAGCGCCGGGCUCCACUGCUCCUUGAGAAUGUCCAGGCAGAUGUUGCCGUUGCUGUUAAUGUUCGGGUGGAACACCUUCGUCUUGAACGCCACCUGUUUCAUUUGUUCGUGGUUUUCAUUCAUUCAGUUCGUCGUCGUCGAUGAGCAUGAGAUUCUCAGCUCAGACUUCAUAACAUUGCAUAAUUCAGCGAAAUUUUGGAGAUGAAGAGUGGGUGAGUACCUUGGGAGGCUUGAAUGGAUAGUCUGGAGGGAAGUGGAUGGUGACCAGGAACACGCCUCCAGAGUAGGGGCUGUCGCUGGGGCCGAUGAUCGUCGCUUGCCAGUGGAAUAUGUCAUCAGACACAGGGCCUGAUCACAAAGAACAGUUGAACCAGAAUUCAGAAGAAAGAAAAUUCAACUUUGAACUUCCUUUUUCUUUGGGGUCUGAAAUUGUAUGCCUGACCAUGUGUACACCAAACUGAUUGAUACCUGCGCUGCAGGACGUCGGUGGAUCCCUCUGCAGGUCCUUGAGCUCCUUGAUGAUUCUCCGCAGCGCCAUGGAUAUCGGAUCCUUGCACUAGCUCCUGAACAGCUCUUGAAAGGAAUGAAGAGUGCCUUAUUGAUCUGAAAGUCUCAAACUGCACAACUAACGAAACCGGUUUGCUUCGGUGUCCGGG
rnacentral:lncRNA from 1 species